rnacentral:rRNA from 1 species
AGAGUUUGAUUAUGGCUCAGGAUGAACGCUAGCUACAGGCUUAACACAUGCAAGUCGAGGGGCAUCGAGAGUGUAGCAAUACACUUGUCGGCGACCGGCGCACGGGUGAGUAACGCGUAUCCAACCUUCCCCCUGGUAGGGGAUAGCCCGGCGAAAGUCGGAUUAAUACCCUAUGUUCUCCUUUGAUGGCAUCUGACGAGGAGCAAAGAUUUAUCGCCAGGGGAUGGGGAUGCGUCCGAUUAGGCAGACGGCGGGGUGACGGCCCACCGUGCCCGCGAUCGGUAGGGGUUCUGAGAGGAAGGUCCCCCACAUUGGAACUGAGACACGGUCCAAACUCCUACGGGAGGCAGCAGUGAGGAAUAUUGGUCAAUGGGCGUAAGCCUGAACCAGCCAAGUAAGCGUGAGGGAUGACGGCCCUACGGGUUGUAAACCCCUUUUGCCGGGGGAUAAAGUGCCGCACGUGUGCGGCUUUGCAUGUACCCGGAGAAUGAGGACCGGCUAAUUCCGUGCCAGCCGCCGC